GGCACUAUUAGAAAUUAAAAAUACUUUAUUUUCCUCUAAAAUUUCAACCUAUCUAGGUUGAAAUUUUGAAGUAUGAGGAUGUUGCUUCUUGGAUAUUUGUGUGUAUCUGCAGUACAUGAAGCUCCCAGUCUGACUCCAGCAGCCUCUUGCUUCUCCUACCCACAUGUCCCACUCUUUCAGAACAGAAGGCAAAACAGUCUCAGUGGGAAAAACACCCAUUUGUUUAGCAAGUCUGAGAAAAUUGAGACAACCUUGACUCACUGGCUGAGCAAAAGGCCUGAAUGUGCUUUCUGGGAAGGACACUAUCCAGCCCGAUGACCUUCAGACUACAUUUUUAAGUCUCAGGACAAAACAUGAACAGAAACAACACCAGAUUCACCACUUAUCAUUUUAAGAUUUGUCAAAGAAGGGAUAAAUUAAUCUUUGUUAUGAUUUUUGUUUGAAGCAAUGAGACCACAUCUUCAUAUAGCUGCAACCUGGACCAACCUUCAGCUUCCAGGAAUUUGUUUCAGACAGAACAAGUGAGGAAGAGACAUGAAAACCACGGCUGCAGUGCUGAGUUCGAAUGCCGGUGUACAGUUGUAGGGAUAAAUCCAGAUCUGACCUCACUGAUCUCUUCUGUUGGGAAAAGGGGUGAAGAGAGACAACCCCAUUUCUCAUUAAAGUAUCUAGUUGGUUACAAUCCUUUUUUUUCCCCACCUUGCACUAGUACAGCACAUUGAGUAAUGUGAAGAUUUCAUUGAAAAAAAAAAUCUCAUAUGCACCGGUUCAUUCCAGAGUUGAAGAAAAAAAGGCAAGAUGUGGUUUUGAUUGUUUCAUCCACCGGAGAAGCCUGUGUUUUCUGCUUCCUGAGGACAAGAGCCUGAGGUCCCUCCUGCAGAGAAUUGAGACCUUGAUCCCAAAUUGCUUAGGCUGAGCUCAGCAAGCCUGUUUUCAAAGCAAAGCCUGCUCUCCCUCACCCAAACACUCCUGCCUGAUAAGCCUGCCUGCAGAGGGACGUUAUCUGUAUUUCUAGGAUCAGCAGAAAAGAGAAAAAAAAAGUGGGAGGCAUAUCUGAAUAUUUUAAACUGCUAAUUCUGAUGCAAGCAAGUUGCAUAGAGGACACUUCUUGGAUGGGGAUGCCUGAGGAGGUGUGUUUGUGGAGCUGCAACACUGUCCAGAGAAGGAAGUUCAGUGAGAAGUACAGAACCUAACUCUGUUGUUUCCUAUCUUUGUACAUCCUUGAGUGAACUGUUCUGUUUCUCCUCUGGCAAGCACAAUGCCAGUAUAUCCUCCAGGAUAACUAUCCCCAGAUAUUCUAAUGCACAGUAAGUGAAUUAAAACCACAGCAGCACCAGAUGUACCUUGCACAUGAGUAUAACAGUGUAGGAGCAGUACUUGCCCCAGUGAUGUCCUGUCUUCAUUAGCACAGGGAAGUGCAGCAUGCAGAUGGUCAAGAGCCAUCACUCACCACGGCACAAGCAGCACCUCCAGAGCUGUGCAGGCAGGGUGCUUUCCCUGAGCCCCUGACUCCUGAACUACCCUAGUCAGAAAUGUUCUAGCCCUGGGGCUCAGAAAAACAUCUUUCUGAAGAGUAAGAAUUUUGCUGCGUUUCUGAAUUUUCCCUGAAGCAACCCAGCCUGCGCUAGCUAACAGGCAUUUUUCAGAUGGAUCUUUAGGCCAAGUCCUUCAUAUUUCAAUAUAGAGCUGCACUGUUACUCAACACAUUGCAUUUUCCAGGAACAGACAUUUCCAGGAAAAUGUAGCUGGAUGUUUUUGCCCAGCGGUGGUUCUUCCAUCUUUGAUUACUGUCAAAAGCAAAAGAUCCGGCUGUAAUCCACCUUCCUGGUGAGGAUGAGCCUCUGAGAGUUCCUGCAGGAGAAGUGAGGCAGGAAGCAACACUUGAGAACAGAGGAUUGCAUGGCUGGAAGGCAUGCUUGCUGGGCAAAAUAUCAUGUGCAUCCUUUUUUUUUGAAAAAUCAUCUAAGUCCAAUUCUAGCUUCAGCAGUCACACAGCACCAACCUCCUGUCCAUGCCCAAUGCUAGCACCAACUCUACAGCCCUGCCCCACUCUCACCCAGACCAUGUUACUCUCUGCAGAGAUUUUUGUCUACACUAAAGUCAGGAAAUUCAUUUACAUUUCCCACAGCAAACAUAAAUCCAGGUAUUCUGAACAAGUACUGUAAAACAGGUAGUUAGUUGCACAAGUGUUUCUCAGUAGAUGCAUGAGAGAUCCAGUGGUACAGCAGGCUUGGAGAUGCAGUCUGCAACCCCCACACCUGCCCCGGCAAAACCUGAGCACAGCUGCAAGAGGGGCUUGGGAGUAAAACCUUUUGACAGCUGAUGCCAUGCACCAGAUGUUCUGGGGUAGCUGUGAAGUUUCUGGUGACUUGAGGAUAUAAUCCUGGUAUUGGAGAAUGUGGCAACCACACUGUGUGUCAGAGCCAGUGAGCAACAGGUGUCUGCUGAACUCCACAGCAAUGCAGACUAACCAGCAUCCUCACACAGCUCUAUUUGGUGCCCUUAAGUGGACUUCAUUUUGGUAGCUGAGGGCUUCACACUUGUUAACAUUUAUCUCUGCAGAGGCUCUGUGAAGUAAGGAAGAACUAUUAUCCCCAUUUCACAGGAGAAGACUGAACCAGCAGGAGGCCAUACAUCCACCCCAGGGUCUCAGAGAGUCUGCAGCAGAGUCUGUGCCUCCCAAGUCUCAGGGUCAUAACCUCAUUUUCCAGUAGUGACAGAAAAGAUACAGAACCAAAAUUUCACAAGUUAAGAAGUGCCAGGACCUGCUGGCUGGAGUCCACAGGCUGUGGCCUCCUGUCUCCAGCAGCAUUCACAUUCUCCUCUGUUAUUUCAAAUAUUUUGUUGUAGCAUUAUCUUGUCUAGUCUAAACAAUGGUCCCACUUGCUCUUGAGAGUUGUACUCUAUGAGGGAGAAGGUUGAAAAUUGUUAUUAUCCCCAGUGUUUGGGCACAGACGCAGAGGGGUGGAUGCUCCACAGUCAGGACCCUACCAUUCCUUUGCUACCCCAGCCUCCACUCUGUCUGCAGUUGCACAGUGCAAGAACCACCACUAGCCCCCCAGUCCCUCCCCACCUGUUCCAAGGCUGUGCUCCUUUCCCAAGCACAGGGACACUCAUAUCUCUCGAGUGACAAGGACGUGUGUGGCGUCAGUGGCAUCAGUCCAGAUAUAUAUUAAUGGCAGAAGACAGAAAAAACUGUGUCCCACAUUUUGAGAUGACCCACCACAGAGAAAGAUCUGAGCUGUGAUGUUCCUGCCUCUGGAUAUGCUGUCUCUUGAAGCAGGCAGGAGUUCAAAUCUCCAGCUCUUUUUCAGUCUUAUCCACUAAUAAAAACCCCAGGUGUUACUGGGAAUACUAUCGAUGCCUGCUUUGGGAUGUGAAGUGUGCAUCACUUGCCUCAUUGCCUUAAAAACAGUAAAUUUGUUUAUCUUGCUGGUUACUUAGUAAUGAAAAGCAGUGGCCAAAUCAGUUGUCUGAAAGGGGCUAAACGGCAACUUGCUCCACACCCUAUGUAAGUGAGGCAGAUAGUGUCAAAGCCCUUCUUGGCUCCAUAUGACUGAGUCUAUCCAGAGUGGUUGAAACAGGCCAGCACACAGUGCUCUGUCAUCCUGGCAUGUCCAAGCAAUCCUGCUGCUGACCAACCAAGGACACAUGGGUAUUUCUUAAGUUCCCACUGUGAUGAGACACAGCAUCCUGUGACAGUUUAUGAACAAACAGCAACUGUAUUUACUCAUGCCUUAAAAUUUGGUAGAUGUCCUACCCACGUAUCUCAAAGCAUUUCACAAACCUGGUCCCUCUCUUGACUCAGGAAUUCAUUGCAGUGGGCAAGAUGUCUUCAUAGGAAUUUGUUGGGAAGAAGGCUAUUGAGCCAUUUUUGUGAAGGGAUUUGGGAACUCUGCAAGGAGGGUGCUGCUUAGGUAUCAGAUAUCAGUAGCAGCCUGUCACACUGAAUUCAGCAAGGGAAUGCUGUUGCAGCACUCAUGGAGGACUCAACUCCCAGAUGAAUUAAGACUCUCCUGUGUGACUGAAUGUUUUUGCAUAUUCCUGCUUCACUUGUAAAAUGGAGACAAUAUUGUUUCCCUGACUGAAUGAAUUUUGAGAGAUAGUACAUUAAUGGUACUGAGACCAUCACCACGCAACACCAUGCAAUAAAUAAUUUUGCAAUAGCCACACAUACAGCAUUCAUCUGCAUUUGUAUUCAGCAGACUAUGGAAGAAACUGGACUAUUAACACCUCUACUCUAGGGCAAAAUGCUUCGAGACCGCAUCCAGACAUCCAGGUGUCUGCUGAACUUCAUGGGAUUUGGUGUCCAAGUUUGGGCUUGAAUAUAGAUUGCACAGCUAAUUCCUAUUUAAUUUAUAAUAGCCUAAACCUCAACAUGAAUGCCAACCACUGACUUAUUAGGAACCUGAAUUAGCUGCCCAUUUUGUGCCUUGGGUCUAUCUCUUGAAAUUACUCUAUUGUCUGCUGCAAUCUACUCUGAAGCUGGAGAUUUUUUUCUACAGGAGGCAGGGAAACAUUAUGUUGCCAAACUACUUCCAGUCUUUUCCAGGAUUACAAGUCAGGGAAUGGUGGAUAGACCUUGUGAUUUCCAUCCUACAAUUUAAACCAGAUGGGCUAGCCUUGCAGCAAAAACAUUCAAGCAAGAAAAGCAAAAAAUUGGCAGA